ACCCUCUUCAGCUGCCACUCCAACCACCACAAAAGGAAUUAAACGCUCGAAGUAAAUCGAUGCUGGAAAUGGCACUGUUCAUUUAAAUCCGGGUAAGUAAAUAAGCAUGACUAAAGGUGAUUUUAACAUGAACAUGGUUUUUGCUAUGAAGUUAGCUGCCACACCUUGCUUAUGCCAUGGUCUGUCGCAUGAAUCGUGUCAAGAACAUGAUUGUGCCAACUUUGGUACUGAUACGACAACCCUUUGGUGAACUAACAUGGUUUGCUUUCCUUAACUAGCCUAAUGUAAUCUCCACUCUUCAACAAAGCGUGUUGCAUUCUCGAUAGAAAUGCAUUCCAGGGUGUGAUUAGUGAAAUUUGGUUUCUUCUUUUAAGAGUAAGUUCGAUUUGAU
rnacentral:misc_RNA from 1 species